rnacentral:rRNA from 1 species
GAUGAACGCUGGCGGCGUGCCUAAUACAUGCAAGUCGAGCGAACGGACGAGAAGCUUGCUUCUCUGAUGUUAGCGGCGGACGGGUGAGUAACACGUGGAUAACCUACCUAUAAGACUGGGAUAACUUCGGGAAACCGGAGCUAAUACCGGAUAAUAUUUUGAACCGCAUGGUUCAAAAGUGAAAGACGGUCUUGCUGUCACUUAUAGAUGGAUCCGCGCUGCAUUAGCUAGUUGGUAAGGUAACGGCUUACCAAGGCAACGAUGCAUAGCCGACCUGAGAGGGUGAUCGGCCACACUGGAACUGAGACACGGUCCAGACUCCUACGGGAGGCAGCAGUAGGGAAUCUUCCGCAAUGGGCGAAAGCCUGACGGAGCAACGUCGCGUGAGUGAUGAAGGUCUUCGGAUCGUAAAACUCUGUUAUUAGGGAAGAACAUAUGUGUAAGUAACUGUGCACAUCGUGACGGUACCUAAUCAGAAAGCCACGGCUAACUACGUG